AUGAAACGGUGGCAGAAGGACGAUACAAAAACCACCCAGUCUUUCCUGCCGCUCGACUGCUUCACCGGGGAAAGGAAACCUCGUGUCAUUGACCGGAGAUGUAAAGCGGCGCUUCAGAUAUUGACACAGGCUCAAAUAUCGAUCACCAGGGCUCCGACAAAACCUGUGCACUUUUACUGUGAUGUUCAACAAAUCGACUUUGCGGAAGCUGUUAUACAUUGGUACCGGCAGAGGCCGGGUGAAGGCCUGCAGCAGCUAUUGUAUUUUAAGAAUUCAUCCGACACGCAGAAGGAUGUGGCUGACGAACGAUUAAUUGCGAGCAAAGUACCUGAGACUCAAUCGUGCACUCUAUUCUUGCCGAAUGUAAGCGAGGAUGAUGCUGGCACCUACUACUGCGCUUACUGGCUACAUAGUGGAGAAAUGCGAAGGGAAGCCAGUACAUAA